rnacentral:piRNA from 1 species
CUUAACAAACGGAUCAGCUAUC